GGGAGACGCCUUGGCCAGGGGGUCGCCUGGACGCCACCCAGCACCGCCCCUUCUGCCCCCAGUACGACUACGAUGCGAACCAAGUCGUCGGCGAUGAAGACUGCCUGUUCCUCAAUGUGUACACUCCUUUCCUACCGGGUCAUGCACGGGAGCGGUUACCAGUAUUAGUGUUUCUGCAUGACGGCUGGUACUUGAAGGGAGCUGCGUCCUCUCUCGGUCCCCAGAAGCUCCUGAGGGAGGAUGUUGUCCUUGUCACGACCAACUUCCGCCUGGGCGCUCUUGGAUUCCUAAGCACCGGGGACACGACUCUGGCGGGGAACUACGGCGCCCUGGACCAGGUGGCGGCCCUGCGGUGGGUGCAGAGGAACGUCGC